GAUGAACGCUGGCGGCGUGCUUAACACAUGCAAGUCGAACGAAGCACUUUAUUUGAUUUCCUUCGGGACUGAUUAUUUUGUGACUGAGUGGCGGACGGGUGAGUAACGCGUGGGUAACCUGCCUUGUACAGGGGGAUAACAGUUGGAAACGACUGCUAAUACCGCAUAAGCGCACAGUAUCGCAUGAUGCAGUGUGAAAAACUCCGGUGGUAUAAGAUGGACCCGCGUUGGAUUAGCUAGUUGGUGAGGUAACGGCCCACCAAGGCGACGAUCCAUAGCCGACCUGAGAGGGUGACCGGCCACAUUGGGACUGAGACACGGCCCAAACUCCUACGGGAGGCAGCAGUGGGGAAUAUUGCACAAUGGGCGAAAGCCUGAUGCAGCGACGCCGCGUGAGCGAAGAAGUAUUUCGGUAUGUAAAGCUCUAUCAGCAGGGAAGAUAAUGACG
rnacentral:rRNA from 1 species